GACGAACGCUGGCGGCGUGCUUAACACAUGCAAGUCGAACGGUGAAAGCGGAGCUUGCUCCGCUGGAUCAGUGGCGAACGGGUGAGUAACACGUGGGCAACCUGCCCCUCACUUCGGGAUAACUCCGGGAAACCGGGGCUAAUACCGGAUAUGACCUCCUUGGGCAUCCUUGGAGGUGGAAAGUUUUUCGGUGAGGGAUGGGCCCGCGGCCCAUCAGCUUGUUGGUGAGGUAGUGGCUCACCAAGGCGACGACGGGGAGCCGGCCUGAGAGGGCGACCGGCCACACUGGGACUGAGACACGGACCAGACUCCUACGGGAGGCAGCAGUGGGGAAUAUUGCACAAUGGGCGCAAGCCUGAUGCAGCAACGCCGCGUGAGGGAUGACGGCCUUCGGGUUGUAAACCUCUUUUAGUAGGGAAGAAGCGAAAGUGACGGUACCUGCAGAAAAAGCACCGGCUAACUACGUGCCAGCCGCCGCAGUAA
rnacentral:rRNA from 1 species